AGGUAUUACUGUGAGGAAAGUCCGGGCUUCAUAGGGCAGGAUAGCUGAUAACGUCAGCCGGAGGCGACUCCCGGGAAAGUGCAACAGAAAGAAACCGCCCGCAAGGGUAAGGAUGGAAAGGCGAGGUAAGAGCUCACCCACUCCUAUGGUAACAUAGGUUUGCUGUAAACCCUAUCCGAAGCAACACCGUAGCGGAUGGUCUGCCCGACACAGGUCCGCAGGUGGCACGGGGAAACCCGAAGCCUGACGGUGACGUCAGGCGAAGAUAGAUGGUCGCUUAAGACAGAACCCGGCUUACAGACAGAG
rnacentral:RNase_P_RNA from 1 species